AUGAAUAUUGGUCUUACUUUCAGCAAAUCGUCAUCUACUCUAGUCAGUGCUUUCUUAGAUUCUGAUUGGGCAGGAUGCAUAGAUGACAGACGCUCUACUCGUGGGUUUGCAGUAUUUUUUGGACCAAAUCUAAUAUCAUGGUGUGCAAAGAAACAGGCUACUGUAUCAAGGUCAAGUACAGAAGCUGAGUACAAGGCACUUGCAAAUGCCACAGCAGAAAUUAUUUGGGUACAGUCUAUGUUAAAGGAACUUGGUAUAAAGAGUACCAAAGCUCCAUGUUUAUGGUGUGAUAAUCUUGGUGCCACCUACCUAUCUGCAAAUCCAGUGUUUCAUGCAAGAACGAAACAUAUUGAGAUUGAUUUCCACUUUGUCAGAGAAAGAGUUGCAAAUCAGCAGUUAGACAUUCGUUUUGUGCAUUCCAGAGAUCAAGUUGCAGAUGGCUUCACAAAACCGCUACCUACAAGAAGUUUUGAAGAAUUCAAGCGUAAUCUCAACUUGACAAAGUUGUGA
rnacentral:rRNA from 1 species